UUAAGCGACUAAGCGUACACGGUGGAUGCCCUGGCAGUCAGAGGCGAUGAAGGACGUGCUAAUCUGCGAUAAGCGUCGGUAAGGUGAUAUGAACCGUUAUAACCGGCGAUUUCCGAAUGGGGAAACCCAGUGUGUUUCGACACACUAUCAUUAACUGAAUCCAUAGGUUAAUGAGGCGAACCGGGGGAACUGAAACAUCUAAGUACCCCGAGGAAAAGAAAUCAACCGAGAUUCCCCCAGUAGCGGCGAGCGAACGGGGAGCAGCCCAGAGCCUGAAUCAGUGUGUGUGUUAGUGGAAGCGUCUGGAAAGGCGCGCGAUACAGGGUGACAGCCCCGUACACAAAAAUGCACAUGCUGUGAGCUCGAUGAGUAGGGCGGGACACGUGGUAUCCUGUCUGAAUAUGGGGGGACCAUCCUCCAAGGCUAAAUACUCCUGACUGACCGAUAGUGAACCAGUACCGUGAGGGAAAGGCGAAAAGAACCCCGGCGAGGGGAGUGAAAAAGAACCUGAAACCGUGUACGUACAAGCAGUGGGAGCACGCUUAGGCGUGUGACUGCGUACCUUUUGUAUAAUGGGUCAGCGACUUAUAUUCUGUAGCAAGGUUAACCGAAUAGGGGAGCCGAAGGGAAACCGAGUCUUAACUGGGCGUUAAGUUGCAGGGUAUAGACCCGAAACCCGGUGAUCUAGCCAUGGGCAGGUUGAAGGUUGGGUAACACUAACUGGAGGACCGAACCGACUAAUGUUGAAAAAUUAGCGGAUGACUUGUGGCUGGGGGUGAAAGGCCAAUCAAACCGGGAGAUAGCUGGUUCUCCCCGAAAGCUAUUUAGGUAGCGCCUCGUGAAUUCAUCUCCGGGGGUAGAGCACUGUUUCGGCAAGGGGGUCAUCCCGACUUACCAACCCGAUGCAAACUGCGAAUACCGGAGAAUGUUAUCACGGGAGACACACGGCGGGUGCUAACGUCCGUCGUGAAGAGGGAAACAACCCAGACCGCCAGCUAAGGUCCCAAAGUCAUGGUUAAGUGGGAAACGAUGUGGGAAGGCCCAGACAGCCAGGAUGUUGGCUUAGAAGCAGCCAUCAUUUAAAGAAAGCGUAAUAGCUCACUGGUCGAGUCGGCCUGCGCGGAAGAUGUAACGGGGCUAAACCAUGCACCGAAGCUGCGGCAGCGACACUAUGUGUUGUUGGGUAGGGGAGCGUUCUGUAAGCCUGUGAAGGUGUACUGUGAGGUAUGCUGGAGGUAUCAGAAGUGCGAAUGCUGACAUAAGUAACGAUAAAGCGGGUGAAAAGCCCGCUCGCCGGAAGACCAAGGGUUCCUGUCCAACGUUAAUCGGGGCAGGGUGAGUCGACCCCUAAGGCGAGGCCGAAAGGCGUAGUCGAUGGGAAACAGGUUAAUAUUCCUGUACUUGGUGUUACUGCGAAGGGGGGACGGAGAAGGCUAUGUUGGCCGGGCGACGGUUGUCCCGGUUUAAGCGUGUAGGCUGGUUUUCCAGGCAAAUCCGGAAAAUCAAGGCUGAGGCGUGAUGACGAGGCACUACGGUGCUGAAGCAACAAAUGCCCUGCUUCCAGGAAAAGCCUCUAAGCAUCAGGUAACAUCAAAUCGUACCCCAAACCGACACAGGUGGUCAGGUAGAGAAUACCAAGGCGCUUGAGAGAACUCGGGUGAAGGAACUAGGCAAAAUGGUGCCGUAACUUCGGGAGAAGGCACGCUGAUAUGUAGGUGAAGUCCCUUGCGGAUGGAGCUGAAAUCAGUCGAAGAUACCAGCUGGCUGCAACUGUUUAUUAAAAACACAGCACUGUGCAAACACGAAAGUGGACGUAUACGGUGUGACGCCUGCCCGGUGCCGGAAGGUUAAUUGAUGGGGUUAGCCGCAAGGCGAAGCUCUUGAUCGAAGCCCCGGUAAACGGCGGCCGUAACUAUAACGGUCCUAAGGUAGCGAAAUUCCUUGUCGGGUAAGUUCCGACCUGCACGAAUGGCGUAAUGAUGGCCAGGCUGUCUCCACCCGAGACUCAGUGAAAUUGAACUCGCUGUGAAGAUGCAGUGUACCCGCGGCAAGACGGAAAGACCCCGUGAACCUUUACUAUAGCUUGACACUGAACAUUGAGCCUUGAUGUGUAGGAUAGGUGGGAGGCUUUGAAGUGUGGACGCCAGUCUGCAUGGAGCCGACCUUGAAAUACCACCCUUUAAUGUUUGAUGUUCUAACGUUGACCCGUAAUCCGGGUUGCGGACAGUGUCUGGUGGGUAGUUUGACUGGGGCGGUCUCCUCCUAAAGAGUAACGGAGGAGCACGAAGGUUGGCUAAUCCUGGUCGGACAUCAGGAGGUUAGUGCAAUGGCAUAAGCCAGCUUGACUGCGAGCGUGACGGCGCGAGCAGGUGCGAAAGCAGGUCAUAGUGAUCCGGUGGUUCUGAAUGGAAGGGCCAUCGCUCAACGGAUAAAAGGUACUCCGGGGAUAACAGGCUGAUACCGCCCAAGAGUUCAUAUCGACGGCGGUGUUUGGCACCUCGAUGUCGGCUCAUCACAUCCUGGGGCUGAAGUAGGUCCCAAGGGUAUGGCUGUUCGCCAUUUAAAGUGGUACGCGAGCUGGGUUUAGAACGUCGUGAGACAGUUCGGUCCCUAUCUGCCGUGGGCGCUGGAGAACUGAGGGGGGCUGCUCCUAGUACGAGAGGACCGGAGUGGACGCAUCACUGGUGUUCGGGUUGUCAUGCCAAUGGCACUGCCCGGUAGCUAAAUGCGGAAGAGAUAAGUGCUGAAAGCAUCUAAGCACGAAACUUGCCCCGAGAUGAGUUCUCCCUGACUCCUUGAGAGUCCUGAAGGAACGUUGAAGACGACGACGUUGAUAGGCCGGGUGUGUAAGCGCAGCGAUGCGUUGAGCUAACCGGUACUAAUGAACCGUGAGGCUUAACCUU
rnacentral:rRNA from 1 species